CUACUGGCUACCUUUCAUUACUUUCUCUCUUUAGAGAUUAUGAUUUUCUUGAAUGGAUGCCCUCUCUCAGUCUCUCUCAGUACAGUUCUGUUGAUGGCAAAGCUGAAGAUGCAUUUCAGCACGUUGGGUGAGAUCUGCAAAGGCCGUUAAAUGAGAUGAGGACCUACCAAGCUAAUGGAGCAACUCCUUCUCAAUCACAACAUUGAACUGCCUCACUGAUUUCAGUGCCUAUAUCCUUCCAGUGCCCCUAGAUUGCUUUGGUUCUGUAUUCAUAAAUGAAAGUGCAGUGACUCAGAGGUUUGGCUGUCUGAGCUGUCUGUCCUUGAUGGCUGAAAACAUCUCCAAAGCAGGAAAGAAAUAUCACCCAGCCAUCAGCAGCAACAAUUUCAAGUUUGUCUCAGUGGAGGCAGCUGUUGGCGUCUGAUGUGAUACCAGGGAAAACCGAUACCUGACCUGGGCAGGUAUGGCAGAUCCUUAGUCAAGUUCCUACUUGUUUUCUUCUGCUAUGUAUAAAUACUAUUUAAAUAUAUUUAAUUUUCUGAAUGUUCAGACUUCUGAACUACACCUCAACUGCAUGAAAGCUGACGGAGGAUUUAAAAAAUAAUUCUUAAUCGAGACCAACUAUUAUGACAAUUCUUUAGCAACGUGAAAUUUUGAAUUGUAAUUAAGGAUUGUGCUCACUUUAGUUUUUUUUUUUUUUUUUUUUUUUUUUUUCUCCAGAAGGACUUAAGAAUGUGUUCAACAUGCCAUACAUUUUUAGAUUCUGUGUUGAAAAAGGUCUUUGAUCUCUCUCUCUUUUUUUUUUUUUUUUUUUUCUUGAUUUCCCUUCACCCUCUCUCGUCCCUUUUCUCAUCUGCUACUUCUAAUCUAGGCUUGUAUUGUAUAAAUAAAUCCUAAAUUGACGUCAUUUGUCUGUGAUAUGGAACACUGUUUAUGUUGAAUCAGUUUUGCUGUUUUGUUAGCACGGAAAGCAACCUGAAUAGUCCAGGUGCAGAAGCCUGAAGCUUAGUGGCUUGAAAUGAACAUGUAGAUUGAUCCAGUCAAAUUCUUACAUUAAUUAACUAUACUUCUUAACUGUUCUCCUUCUUCUUUCUCUCCCCUCCACCUUCCUUUGCCCCCAGCUCCUUUGUAAAUGAAAACAUAAUCUUGAUUCAUGUUGCAUAGCUUUGUUUUUGGUCUGACACAGAACUGAAGUGGGUUUUGCUUGGCAAAGAAAGGUAUUACAAAGGUUGCUGGAAACACUGUGUGAUUGCUACGUGAUUUUUUCCCUCUUCUUUGUUUCUUGCCCUUACAGAUGAAAUCAACAUAGAUCUGUAAAUGAGGUGUGUCUAAUUUGAACUACCGAGUGCUUUAUAGGUGAUAAAUUUGCUGUAACUAUUUCCUGAAGAUGUUUUCUUUUCCCCACUUAUGCUGAGAGUUGUGCUAUUAUUCUUCUAUAGAAAGACCGUUUAAGAAGUCUACUUCCAGCUGAAACAGCUCUAGUCUUUACUAAAGUAUAUAUUUGUUUAAGGGACUUCUACAGAAAAAGAAAUAAAAAUAACCUCUGAAAAUACAGGUCUUCAAUAAGAACUUGAUUGCGCUCAAUUAAAAGUUUUGCCACAAAUUUUCUCUGUUUAUUUGUGAAAUGGUAAAAU